GCUCGUUGAAAACUACCCCGGUAUUGGCCUUGAUGCCUAUGUGGGGGUUUUAAUUUGCUGCUCAGAACCACAAGAGGCUUCAGAUCACCACCUGCUACCCAGGGGUGGGCGGGUGAAACCCAGGCCCAGACAGCC
rnacentral:snoRNA from 1 species